rnacentral:rRNA from 1 species
GAGGGGCCCGCGUCUGAUUAGCUAGUUGGUGGGGUAACGGCUCACCAAGGCAACGAUCAGUAUCCGGCCUGAGAGGGCGGACGGACACACUGGGACUGAGACACGGCCCAGACUCCUACGGGAGGCAGCAGUGGGGAAUUGUUCGCAAUGGGCGCAAGCCUGACGACGCAACGCCGCGUGGAGGAUGAAGAUCUUCGGGUCGUAAACUCCUUUCGAUCGAGACGAAUGGCCCUUGGGCUAAUCACCAGGGGAAUGACGGUACCGAGAGAAGAAGCCCCGGCUAACUCCGUGCCAGCAGCCGCGGUAAUACGGGGGGGGCAAGCGUUGUUCGGAAUUACUGGGCGUAAAGGGCUCGUAGGUGGCCAACUAAGUCAUACGUGAAAUCCCUCGGCAUAACCGGGGAACUGCGUCUGAUACUGGUUGGCUUGAGUUUGGGAGAGGGACGCGGAAUUCCAGGUGUAGCGGUGAAAUGCGUAGAUAUCUGGAGGAACACCGGUGGCGAAGGCGGCGUCCUGGACCAAUACUGACACUGAGGAGCGAAAGCCAGGGGAGCAAACGGGAUUAGAUACCCCGGUAGUCCUGGCCCUAAACGAUGAAUGCUUGGUGU